UACGUAGGUGGCAAGCGUUGUCCGGAUUUACUGGGCGUAAAGAGCGCGCAGGCGGUCGCUCAAGUCGCGUGUGAAAGCCCCCGGCUCAACUGGGGAGGGUCACGCGAUACUGAUCGACUCGAAGGCAGGAGAGGGAAGUGGAAUUCCCGGUGUAGUGGUGAAAUGCGUAGAUAUCGGGAGGAACACCAGUGGCGAAGGCGACUUCCUGGCCUGUUCUUGACGCUGAGGCGCGAAAGCUAGGGGAGCAAACGGG
rnacentral:rRNA from 1 species